rnacentral:rRNA from 1 species
AUGCAAGUCUAAGUUUAAGCACCUAAACGGCGAAACUGCGAAUGGCUCAUUAAAUCAGUUAUCGUAUAUUUGAUAGUACCUACUACAUGGAUAACCGUGGUAAUUCUAGAGCUAAUACAUGCUUAAAAUCCCGACUUCGGAAGGGAUGUAUUUAUUAGAUUAAAAACCAAUGCCCUUCGGGGCUCACUGGUGAUUCAUAAUAACUUCUCGAAUCGCAUGGCCUUGUGCCGGCGAUGGUUCAUUCAAAUUUCUGCCCUAUCAACUUUCGACGGCUGGGUCUUGGCCAGCCGUGGUUACAACGGGUAACGGAGGGUUAGGGCUUGACCCCGGAGAAGGAGCCUGAGAAACGGCUACUACAUCCAAGGAAGGCAGCAGGCGCGCAAAUUACCCAAUCCCGAUACGGGGAGGUAGUGACAAUAAAUACUGAUACAGGGCUCUUUUGGGUCUUGUAAUUGGAAUGAGUACAAUUUAAAUCCCUUAACGAGGAACAAUUGGAGGGCAAGUCUGGUGCCAGCAGCCGCGGUAAUUCCAGCUCCAAUAGCGUAUAUUAAAGUUGUUGCAGUUAAAAAGCUCGUAGUUGAACCUUGGGCCUGGCUGGCCGGUCUGCCUCACCGCAUGCACUGGUCCGGCCGGGCCUUUCCCUCUGGGGAGCCGCAUGCCCUUCAUUGGGUGUGUCGGGGAACCAGGACUUUUACUGUGAAAAAAUUAGAGUGUUCAAAGCAGGCCUAUGCUCGAAUACAUUAGCAUGGAAUAAUAGAAUAGGACGUUGCGGUUCUAUUUUGUUGGUUUCUAGGACCGCCGUAAUGAUUAAUAGGGACAGUCGGGGGCAUCAGUAUUCAAUCGUCAGAGGUGAAAUUCUUGGAUCGAUUGAAGACUAACUACUGCGAAAGCAUUUGCCAAGGAUGUUUUCAUUAAUCAGGAACGAAAGUUAGGGGAUCGAAAACGAUCAGAUACCGUUGUAGUCUUAACCAUAAACUAUGCCGACUAGGGAUCGGGCGAUGUUUUUCUUUGACUCGCUCGGCACCUUACACGAAAGUAAAGUUUUUGGGUUCUGGGGGGAG